rnacentral:rRNA from 1 species
GUUGAACGCUGGCGGCAUGCCUUACACAUGCAAGUCGAACGGCAGCAUGGAGAGCUUGCUCUCUGAUGGCGAGUGGCGAACGGGUGAGUAAUGCAUCGGAACGUACCGUGUAAUGGGGGAUAACGUAGCGAAAGUUACGCUAAUACCGCAUACGACCUGAGGGUGAAAGCAGGGGAUCGCAAGACCUUGCGUUAUACGAGCGGCCGAUGUCAGAUUAGCUAGUUGGUGAGGUAAAGGCUCACCAAGGCGACGAUCUGUAGCGGGUCUGAGAGGAUGGUCCGCCACACUGGGACGGAUGCACGGCCCAGACUCCUACGGGAGGCAGCAGUGGGGUAUUUUGAACACUGGGGGCAACCCUGAUCCAGCAAUGCCGCGUGAGUGAAGAAGGCCUUCGGGUUGUAAAGCUCUUUCGGCCGGGAAGAAAUCGCACAGGCUAAUACUCUGUGUGGAUGACGGUACCGGCAUAAGAAGCACCGGCUAACUACGUGCCAGCAGCCGCCGUAA